AUAAUUCCCCAUUUGAAUGGCCUUUUCUUUUUGCUUAGACAAUGCCUACGCCUAGCCACAGCAGCUCCCUCAUGCAGACUCUAUAAGCCAAGAGGCCGUGGAGGCAAAUGCAGGCAGCCAGCACACCCCGAACAGCCACCUUGACUGCGGGUGUAUCACCCUAGUCGCCAAGGAAGGAUUUGAGGGAAAGCGACAGGCAAUGUGAACAGCUACUUCUCCAUGUAAACGAUACUCUUUCUCUCGGAUGACUCGUACGCCUCGCCACGCCAACUGACCUGUGCAGACUCCACCAACAAAGAUGCCGUUGAGGCACGUGCAAGUCAGAGGCAAGAAGCAGUGGCACUGGUAUCGACAUUCACCCAAUUUCUUUCUUUUUCUUACACUGAGGCAGCCAGCACACCUCGAACAGCCUCCUUGACUGCGGGUGUGUCAACAGAUUCCUCUUGUACAUAUGCUCAUAAUAAACUUCAGUAAACUUGAACUUAAUAAAAAACUUGAAGGCAAAUGGGA
rnacentral:lncRNA from 1 species